GUUUUUCCUAGAGUUCCCUUGAACGCUUCAUUAAGGGUUGUAUAUCAUCGUAUCAAAAGAUAAUUCCAUACUGAAGUGUUUGGGGGAACUCCUGGUGAUAC
rnacentral:pre_miRNA from 1 species